ACUAGUCCAAUGGGGGAAGGGUGGCUCUCCCUUUUAAAGUGGCUUCCUCCUCCCAAGUUAAGCGAGGUGGGAUAAUUCUGAGGCUCACACGAUCGCCGUCCGACUACAAUUGGGCCAACUGGGCCAAUUGCGUCUUUGCCAACGGGUAAUAGUGGAGGAUGUCCUCAUCAUUCCCACCUUCUUAAAAUGGGCCCUAGCUUUGAUACCAGAUGAUACACCCAGCCCAGGUGGGGUUGGCCGAGGCCCAACAAAUUAGGGUUGCCCGGAGCCCAACAGUUCAUCAAGCACACCUAACUCAGGGAAAGGCCCAAUCGCCCCAAAAGAUUAGUCCAAUGGGGGAAGGGUGGUUCUCCCUUUUAAAGUGGCUUCCUCCUCCCAAGUUAAGCGAGGUGGGAUAAUUCUGAGGCUCACACGGUCGACGUCCGACUACAAUUGGGCCAACUGGGCCAAUUGCGUCUUUGCCAACGGGUAAUAGUGAAGGAUGUCCUCAUCAGCGAGUGUAGCAUGUACCCUCCAUGGCAAGAGGCUGGACGGUGGUGUAUCUGUGCUCUCGGUUGGCGUGAACCUGAUCUAGUCUUAAGAACCCCGGUGGCGAGUUGACAUAUGCAAGGGUUAAGUGCUACAUAUGUCGUGUGAUUGGAGAUCCCCAUCUGGGUAUUAAUCGAUUCAGGAUCGCCGUUACUUCUCGGAUAUGAAGACUUGGUCACUGCCCUGCAAUCUAAGUCAUUGAUGGAAUCUUAAUGAGCAAAAAUCAUGUUGGAUUGAUUAAUGUGAUGGUGAAAUUAGACUAGAUGCAAACAAGGUCUAUUAAUACUUAAUCUAGCAUUAAAAUAUUGAAAGUAAGGACUCACUUUAGUAAGCUAUUUCUGCAAAAGUAUCUAAGUUGAUUCUUGCUAAAGCCUUUUCCUUGAUUCCUAUUUAACCAGCAAUUCUUGAGAGUCUUUUCUUUAGUCGGGUAAGUCUUGCUGAGUACUUGCGUACUUAGGGUUUUACCCAUUGUUGCUGCAGGUGAUGAGAACAUAACCCGCACAGAUAUGACCAUGUUAAUGCCUCCUGCUACAAAGACAUUGAGGAACAAAGAAGUUGAUUGGGGACCAAGUAAUGAUAUUUCCAACAUUUCCAUCAAAGCAAGCACAUCAUCAAAUUUAAAGAUAUACUUGGGUCAGGAGCACACACUAGAGUCGAGGACGACUCUAUUACAAGAAGUGGAGGAUGGUGAGGACAUCACUGCCAUCAAUACACCACACAGUGACCCCCUUCACCAUUAAAAAAUGGACUAGUGAACCGAGUCCGUGCACGUAAAUUUAAUUAUCAGUUGAACUCGUUCCUUGUUGUUGAAGCUAAUCAUUUCUUAAAUGAGGUACUAAUACCUUGUGAUUACUUUAUUAUGCUAAGGUGUUUGGGAGGUGAACCAUCUAGAAUUUGAGAAGGCAACAAAGCAAUAAAAGCUGCUCCACUUGAGGGGAUUUCGAAACUACAACAAGUGCAAGUUUAAGAGGGCAUAUCUUUCAGCUUCCAAGGUUGUUUAAUGCAAAUAAGCACUUGUUGGAAAGGUCUCUUUGUCUACUUUCUAGUAGAUCAAGAGUCAAGGAGAGAACGCAUCCAAGGCGUCCAGGAACGGCCGAGACAACUUCAUGACUCCACCAGCCCGAGUGAUUUCGUAACUGCAAGCUCUAAAUUAAAUGGAGCAUAUCUUUCAACUCCCAAGGUUGUUUAAAGCAAAUAAGCACUUGUUGGAAAGGUCUCUUCGUCUACUUUCUAGUGGAUCAAGAAUCAACGAGAGAUCAUACACUAAGCGUCCAGAAAGUACCGAGUGAACUCCUGCUCUACCCAAGUCAAUUUCGUAACUGCAGCAUGCACCAAAUUAAAUGGAGCAUAACUUUCCACUCCCAAGGUUGUUUAGUGCAAAUAACUACUUUUUGGAAAGCUCUCUUCGUCUACUUUCAGGUGCAUCAAGAAUCAAUGACAGAAACCAAACGAGGCGUCCAGAAACUGCCGAGAGAGUUUCGUUCUCCAUUAGAACUCCUUUCUAUUCCUCUAUUUAAGCAACUAGCAGCCACCAAAGAACUUGGGUUUUUGUUUGAUGUAAGUUUAUCCUUUGCUACUUCCUUGUAAACGCGUGUGUCGGCUAGACCACCCGGACACUUGAAACAGAACCCCAACUCUAUCAGAUCCGUGCGCGUCUGCGUUUUAUCUUGUUCUUGCUUGUUCUCGAUUGCUUGCAGGUUCAAUGCUGUUCUUGGCAUGGCAAGAGCAGCAACAACAGGAGCCGGUGUAACUCUCGCUAAGGCGCAGCACCCUUGUGGUUGUUGUAGUCGGAUAGCACAAUGUCGACCUCGACCCCAAAUCGUAGUUAUCAGGAGACGGUGUACCUGUCGCUCAAGGCGCCACACCAUCUUGGUUGUCGUAGUCGGGCAACCAACGUCGUUCUCCAACAAGUUUUCCACCUCCAUCAUCUCUCAUCAAAAGAUCGGGCACCCUUCUACCCGUUGGGUUUAUCAAGUGGUAUCAAUUUCAGGUUACUCGGUGAGAGAUCUCAAUCUUCGGUGAGAGCCCAAAGAUAUAUUUAGAGCAGAAAUUCACCUAAAAACAGUUUGAGCCUUUGAUUUACUACUUAGUUUUCGACUUGUUGAAUUCACAGUUGCUGCAUUUGGGUCGAGUUGCUGGUUUAAAGUUUUCUUACCGCUAAAGUUUCGAGUUCGCGCCACCUUGUUUUCAAUCACCUGUUUAGACCUCUUGCUGCAAUUCAACCAAAAAAGAAGAGAAAGCAAAAGGCGAGUGCAUAAAAAAAGCCGCACUAAUCAGCAAAACAAAAAAAGACACGUGCAAAAAAAGAGAGAGAGAGAGAAAAACCAGUUCUGAAUUUUGGUAGAUAAAAUUUGUAAGUGCGACAAAACAAAAGGCAGUUUGUGUACCUUCUUUUUAUAGUUUCAGAAAUCCGAUUGCUGUUCUGAGCUUUUGGUGAUACUAUUUGUGUAACGGCUCGUGUCUCUAUUACGGUUUGGACUAGGACCAGCACAACACCAUUGUAGAAUGUUUAUUCAACUUGUUGUGGCUAACGUGGUACUAGCUAUUCCUUGGAACUAUUGAAAUUGCAGCUACCUAUAAAUCCACAAAAAUUUCUACAACACCACCAGGUUGUGCUAGCUGCCACCGUUGUUGUUGUUCUUGCUGUUUGCCGGCACCUCCUGUAUUGCAUGGUGAGAAUUUGUAAGAACUUGCUUAACAAGUUUGAGAAUGAGAGAUUACAACAAUGAUUCCUAGUAGUUUAUAGGAUCAAAUAUAUUUUUAUUGUUUUCUUGUCUUUACUAAACAUGGCAGGUGAUAUGGAGAUUUUUGAGCCAACUGAACAUUAUAUUCAAGGCAUCAUUCGACACUUGCCUUCAUAUACCGGUAAAUUUGAUCCUCAUGCAUACAUUGAUUGGGAGCUAAAGGUAGAUAAGGAAUUUGAUAAGCAUGAUCUAUCUCAAAAACAAAAGAUUUAUAUUACCUCUAAUUUGUUAACUGAGCACACAUUGAUGGAAUGGAAAUACAUUUGUAGGCACAACAAAGUUCCACAAUCUUGGGAAGACUUCAAACUUCAUUUUAGAGAUGCAUUCAUUCCUGCAUACUAUGCUGAUCAUUUGCUUUCUAAAUUAGACACCUUAAAGCAGGGUGCUAGGACUGUGAAAGAUUAUUAUUAUGAUUUUAAAAUUUGUACCAUGUUUGCUCGUUUAGAUGAAUGCAUGGAAGAUGUAAUGACUAGGUUCAUGAAAGGACUCAAUUCUGAAAUUCAAACUAUAGUCAUGCAUGAAGCAUACAAACACAUUUCUCACUUGUUUUUGCUUGCAUGUAAAGCUGAAAAUGAGAUUCUAUUAUACAAUUAUACAAGCACUGAACAUGUGAGCCAUAGUUCCUCUUUUGCAUCUGCUCUACAUGCUGAUCAAGAACACAAAAUAAUGAAACCAGCUAUUGUUUUUCCAUCAUCACAAGAAGAAUUGAUUGCUGACACUUGUGAUAGUGAAGAUUUGUGGGAUAAUGAUUCACAUGUACUAAGGCAACAACUAGUAAAUGAACAUGUUACAUCUGUUAUUGAACCAAACAUUUUGGCUAAAAAGGAACAUGUAAUUUGUAUUGCAAACGAAACUGAAGAAAUAAAUUUGCUCUCUUCUAUAAAUACUUGGGGCUAUAUUGAGUUUGAUGAUCUUUUUGAGCUCGGUAAUUUGGAAAAUAUUUUAUUUGCUAGAUCAACUAUACCUUGUCCUUCUCAUGUUAUAUUUUAUAUUGCUGACAAGUACAACAACAUAGGACAAUUUCUUGUGCAUAGAAUUUCUAUUUCAUCUAGAUAUGUUGUUUCUUCACUUUGUGCAAAUAAGAUAUUGGUAUGUUCUCAAGAAGAAAAGAAUCUCUUGUUUCCAUGUACUUUAGUAGAAGUUUCAGGUUUAUAUUUGAAAGAAAUUAAUAAAAGUUUGGUCAUCAACAUCAAUCAUGAUGCAAAACCGAGGACGGUUUGUUGUCAAGAAGGGGAGAAUGAUGAGAACAUAACCCGCACAGAUAUGACCAUGUUAAUGGCUCCUGCUACAAAGACAUUGAGGAACAAAGAAGUUGAUUGGGGACCAAGUAAUGAUAUUUCCAACAUUUUCAACAAAGCAAGCACAUCAUCAAAUUUAAAGAUAUACUUGGGUGAGGAGCACACAAUUGAGUCGAGGACGACUCUAUUACAAGAAGGGGAGGAUGAUGAGGACAUCACUGCCAUCAAUACACCACACCAGCGACCCCCUUCACCAUUUAAUCAUGGACCAGUGAAACGAGUCCGUGCACAUAAAUUUAAUUAUCAGGUGAACUCGUUCCUUGUUGUUGAAGCUAAUCAUUCCUUAAAUGAGGUACUAAUACCUUGUGAUUACUUUAUUAUGCUAAGGUGUUUGGGAGGUGAACCAUCUAGAAUUUGAGAAGGCAACAAGGCAAUAAAAGCUGCUCCACUUGAGGGGAUUUCGAAACUACAACAAGUGCAAGUUUAAGAGGGCAUAUCUUUCAUCUUCCAAGGUUGUUUAAUGCAAAUAAGCACUUGUUGGAAAGGUCUCUUUGUCUACUUUAUAGUAGAUCAAGAGUCAAGGAGAGAACGCAUCCAAGGCGUCCGGGAAUGGCCGAGACAACUUCAUGACUCCACCAGCCCGAGUGAUUUCGUAACUGCAAGCACUAAAUUAAAUGGAGCAUAUCUUUCAACUCCCAAGGUUGUUUAAAGCAAAUAAGCACUUGUUGGAAAGGUCUCUUAGUCUACUUUCUAGUGGAUGAAGAAUCAACGAGAGAUUAGACACUAAGCGUCCAGAAAGUGCCGAGUGAACUCCUGCUCUACCCUAGUCAAUUUCGUAACUGCAGCAUGCACCAAAUUAAAUGCAGCAUAACUUUCCACUCCCAAGGUUGUUUAGUACAAAUAACUACUUGUUGGAAAGCUCUCUUCGUCUACUUUCAGGUGCAUCAAGAAUCAAUGACAGAAACCAAACGAGGCGUCCAGAAACUGCCGAGAGAGUUUCAUUCUCCAUUAGAACUCCUUUCUAUUCCUCUAUUUAAGCAACUAGCAACCACCAAAGAACUUGGGUUUUUGUUUGAUGUAAGUUUAGCCUUUGCUACUUCCUUGUAAACGCGUGUGUCGGCUAGACCACCCGGAUACUUGAAACAGAACCCCCAACUCUAUCAGAUCCGUGAGCGUCUGCGUUUUAUCUUGUUCUUGCUUGUUCUCGAUUACUUGCAGGUUCAAGGCUGUUCUUGGCACGGCAAGAGCAGCAACAACAGGAGUUGGUGUAACCAUCGCGAAGGCGCAGCACCCUUGUGGUUGUUGUAGUCGGAUAGCACAACGUCGACCUCCACCCCAAAUCGUAGUUAUCAGGAGACGGUGUACCUGUCGCUUAAGGCGCCACACCAUCUUGGUUGUGGUAGUCGGGCAGCCAACGUCGUUCUCCAACAAGUUUUCCACCUCCAUCAUCUCUCAUCGAAAGAUCGGGCACCCUUCUACCUGUUGGGUUUAUCAAGUGGUAUCAAAUUUCAGGUUACUCGGUGAGAGAUCUCAAUCUUCGGUGAGAGCCCAAAGACAUAUUUAGAGCAGAAAUUCACCUAAAAACAGUUUGAGCCUUUGCUUUACUACUUAGUUUUCGACUUGUUGAAUUCACGGUUGCUGCAUUUGGGUCGAGUUGCUGGUUUAAAGUUUUCUUACCGCUAAAGUUUCGAGCUCGCGCCACCUUGUUUUCAAUAACCUGUUUAGACCUCUUGCUGCAAUUCAACCAAAAAAAGAAGAGAAAGCAAAAGGCGAGUGCAUAAAAAAAGCCGCACUAAUCAGCAAAACAAAAAAAGACACGUGCAAAAAAAAGAGAGAGAGAGAGAACCAGCACAACACCAUUGUAGAAUGUUUAUUCAACUUGUUCUCAUACAAGUUUUCCACCUCCAUCAUCUCUCAUCGAAAGAUCGGGCACCCUUCUACCCGUUGGGUUUAUCAGCAGGUCAUGAGUCAUUUUGAUUGUGAUUGGUGUUAAGCGCCGGUGGGCACGACCUUCUUAUAAGUCUAAGUACAUCUUUUAUACUUCUUAUUGAGGAUGGUCACUUAAGCUAGCAUAUAUUUCAAACUUAUAAAUAAUUUAUAACAUUUCAAAGUUUAUUCUUUGAACCACUUUUGUAACCACUCCGAUAAAUAUAAUGUAAAUUUGUUGAAACUUGUAACUUUUUGUAAUAAAGAAAUUCUGCUGCAAAAUGUUAGUGUGUGAUUUGUGUUUACUUAAUCUUGCGAUCUUGGUUGUAAGUGGUUUAUCCGAGGUCCUUGGGACACUCGGACGGAUCCUGUUAAGUUAUUUGGUGCACAUGCAUAGCCGUCUGAGGUCUUUGAGACAAGGACAGGUGCAUGUGGGCCCAAUAACUUGAGAGGUUCUGCCACAUGAGUGAACCUGCCCGCAAAUUGAUCUCCUCACGUGACCUGAGACGUGGACUCCCAUUCCGGUUAUGGUGGGUACAAGUGUGGUCACUGCACGACGGCAGUCGGGGUCUGUGAGGCAUUGUACGUCAAGGCGAUAGGCCUCUUUCUGUUGACAGGGAAUCGAUGGGGACGGUUGAUAUGUGUGGGGUUGGAGUGCCUCGCCACGCCGUGUGUUUAGGUUUACCUUACAAGGUUUAAAAACUCGAUUCGAAUCGUCUGCUUCUCGCAGCUAAUGAGACUGCUUUAUCCAUGCUGCUACAUUGAGUAAUAAGUGGAAAUGAGGUGACUGGCAAAAGAUGUUGAUUGCUAAAAAUGUCUGAUACCAUGUAUGAGUAGCUAGGUACUCAUCUAGUUUAAAAAGGAUCAUACUAAAAUGUGAAAAGCUAAAAAUUGAUUUUAGACUCAGCUAUUGCUUUUUGGCAAACCAAACCCCUCAGCCAAAUAGCUGCAUGUCUAGAGGUAGAGGAAUAGACUCCUCACACCGGGUAACUAUAGCCUUGUAUUAGUAUACUCAACCUUGCUUGUGGCAUAAUUUUUGUAGGUACCUCCUUGAUUUGGUUGAUGGUGUGACUUGGCCUCCAUCGAUCCCUGCCACCGGGAUAGACGGUCGAGUGGGUUACUGCUUCCGCAGGAGAGGACGAGGAGGAGUAGCAUGGCCAGGCUUCGCCAUGUUACUCGGUUUUCUCCGUUAGUUAUUUUCGCUGCAUUAAAAUUUAUGGUUAUUAUUUCUGAAACUCCGAUAAUGUAAUCACUAAUGAUACUUAUUAAAUUUGUGGUAUUAUGUUUUAUUGUAUUUCUCUAUGCCUCACCUUCGAGUGAGCUAGUGGUAUUCGAUCCUAGAUAAGUGGCUUUAUCGGACUAGAUCCGAGGGACUGACGGGUUAUUCCUGUUUAAGUGUGUUGCUACCCUUAAGGGUGCGACUUGGGCAUUUAAGCUGGAAUAAUUUGGGCGGUUCCGGCACAUAAGGGCAGUAGGGGAGUUGCAUGCAGGGAGGUUCUCGAGUUGAUUUUGCUACGAUGGCGGUCAGAUGGGGGAUUCUUGCAAGUGUUCUUCCCAUAAACUGUAGCGGAUUUUCGAAAGCUAGUGGAACUUUGUAAAGGCCUCAUAGUGGAUCCCUAGACAUUCACCUCGGUAGUGUCUAACGACCUUGCAAACCCUAGCAACAUGGGAAACACGACUUGUGGGUACAGGGUACAACCUCUGCAGAGUGUAAAACUGGUAUACUAGUCGUGCUCACGGUCAUGAGCGACUCGGACACUCACAUGAUUAAUUUAUGUAACUUAAAUUCAAUUUGUCAUUUGCACUUGCAUGAGAUUAUUUAUUAAUUUUGUUCUAUUAUUUAUUAUGGUUUGGUAUUUACUUACACUUAGUAACUGCUAAUAAAAUUUGACCAACUUAUUAAAAGCAAUGCUCAGCUUUAACCCCUAUUGUUGAUCAACCUUACACAUCACAUGAACUCCCACCUUUGGUGAGUUCAUACACACUGGUUUCCCCACAACUUGUUGAGCUAUGAUUAUGUGUGAGCUCACCCUUGCUGUCUCACACCCCCACAGGAGAAGAACAUGUGGUUCAAGAGGAGCCACACAACGAGGAGUUUGAUCUGAUAUAGGUGGCGUCUCCCAGUCGACUUUAUGGCGCCAAGGAUGGACUUUAGUUCGAUCUAUAUUUAUCCGUUAUUUUGUAAGACUUCUGUUAUAAUAAGUACUCUGAUGUUAUUGUGACAUUUAUCUCUAUACACUUUGUUAUUGUAUAUGUUGUUGUUGGGGACUUGUUCUCAAAUGCUAUGAGUUAAGAACAAGGCAACACAAAUGUUAAUGGUUAAAGGCCUUCGUCCUCUGAAGCAUUAUCUCCCUCAGGAUAUAAUGAUCUUCAGACGAAGGUCAUGAAGGGCAUACCUUCAUCAUCUCAAUAUGUAAUGGAAAGCAUAAGCACGAAUUAUAUAUAAAGAAUACGAACAAUCAUUUUAAAUCAUUAGAUUAUUUGUAUUCUUAUUGAAUAACCAUGAAUAAACAUUAACAAUAUGGAAUUACAUUUGUUCCUUCGGCUUGAUAGAAGGUAAGGAUCCAAGUGUGACGUGCGAGUGAAUACAAGUCAGCGUGAACAGUACGGGGUUACUGUUCACCUAUUUAUAGGCACGGGACGCAGCCCAGUCAAAAUUACAUUUAUGUCCUCGAUAACUAAUUAUAAACGUGACACAAAUUAUCAUGGACUGAACGUCUUUUCCUCUUUAAGUCGGUGCCGCCCUUCGUCUCAAGGCAUGUUUUUUUGUCGAAGCUCCCUGGAUUGUAGCUUUGGUGUACACCUUUGUGUUGUAUUGCAUGUCGUCUUGUCGAAGGUGUUUUGUUUAGAGGACCUUCGGCGAAGAAGAAGGCCCCCAACAGUAGCCCCUUUGCGGUGCUAGAUCGUUUUUCGUAACGAGCUCGAUCUGCGAAAAUUCCCGAAGGCUUCGGAAUGCCGAAGGUCCGAAAACACCUUCCCUAAGCUCGUUGCCGAGAAACGAUUAAAAUACUCCAGGCGCCGGGUGGUCCACCGUUCAGCGAAUAUAGGCGAUCUGGCGGUUCGCCUUCCAAGCGCCGAGUGGUCCACCGUACAGCGGGUGCAGGCGAUCUGACGGUUCAGCUUCCCUCCUGCAGCACUAUAUAAACAGGCGGGUUGGUGUAGAGUUACCAUAGCAUUCAUUGCCAUUGCACUGUUGUGCUGUUAAAAAAUUUAACCAUAGCCGAAGCUUUUUUCACUACGCUCUCAAGCGAGUACAUCAUUUAGAGAUAACUUCGUCAGAAGAGUGAGCUUCGUCAAAACUGCGAAAACAAACAUCAACUUCGUUAAAACCGCAAAAAAUCCAUCAAAUGCCAGAGUGUGUUCGACCGCAAGGGUGACUCGUGAGGGAGACGAGACUGAGGUCACCGAGACAUCACCAAUUUCCGAAGUCAUGAAACAAUCAGGUCUAGUUGUGACGGAGGGAAACACUGAGGAAGGUACUGUUGUUGCCGAAGCUGAACAGACCAUUGCGGAAGAAGAAAAUAUUGAAGUGGAUGAGGAAGAUUAUAGUAUUUUGAUCCCAACAAAAUCCAGCCAUAUAGAUUUUGAGAAAUCUACUGUGACUGAAGCUGAUAUGCCCAUGGUGAUGAAGCUAGGCUACUUUGGGGUAGCUGAAAGGAAACUUGUCGAUUUGCCGGAGAAGAGACCACCCCAACACCGAAGAAUGAUGAAAUAGUGGUUUUAAGAGCUUCUUCAGAGCAGGACUGCGACUUCCUCUGAACGAGAUGAUAGUGGAAGUCUUGAAAAAUUUCGAAAUUUAUCUUCAUCCGAAGCCAAGGGAUGAGCCCAGAUGCCGAAGCGUUAUGUUGAGUGCAUGAGUUGCACUACCAGACGAAGGCCAGGGCAGACGGUCUUCAUGAAAAUUUUGGUUGCUACAAUUUUGCGAAUCGCAAGGAUACAAAGGCUCCAGUUCUCAGUUACCGCACCAAAUGGCCAACCGGCUGGAAAGGUGAAUGGUUUUAUAUUAAGGCUGAUGAGAAGAAGAGGGAGAAACUGAUGACGAUGGUCAUGUGCCCGCUAUCCUUAAACUUCAGAAUGACCAGGCCCCUGUGCAACAUGCAGCUAGGGUCGGCAUGCCAGCUGGCCGAGGUAGAAUUCAGGGUGGUGGCUGAGCAAAUCAGCACUAGGGACUUGGUGCAAGAAUACCUAGCCAACCGAACAUAUCCAACAUCAAGUGGCUGGGGGAUGCCGGAGAUGAAGGGAACGAAGAAGAAACAUUAAUGAUAUAGCUGAGGUGCCCGAUCUUUCGGUGAGUGGGGAUAAUUCCGAUUUGGCGGAAGAUGACCCUUGUGAUCUGACUACGACGAGCAAGCCAGAGGUGCCAAUGCAAUCGCUGAACCAACUCCAGUGGGUACCGACCUUGCUGAUGCGAGAUCGGCCUGAUCACGAAGAUCGUUUCCUGUGCGCAAUCGAAGAACGAACAAGAAAAAGAUGCGAGCAAUCUAAUCUAUUACUCGAGGGUGGAGUUCUGAAUACACAAAGACAACGCUGAUUUGCGCGUGUUCGAGAGUAGCUAAAGCUAACGUAAAACAAAACUCGAAGAACAAAGGAGGCGCAACUCCUAGAUAAAUAGAGAGGGGGCGCAGCCCCUAGGGGCGGCCAACCCUAGGUCGUCCACUAUGGGCCGCAGUUGGGCUGGUCGUCUAUUCUUCUGGGCCCUCAUUCUUCAGUAGCAUGACGAAGUUAAGAUCUCUGGCAUGGGCCCGAGUGAUUGGCCCAGCUAAUGAAGGAAGUGGCGCUUGAUGUGGAGGUGCUGCUGGUGUAGUCGUACUCAUAGUGAUGUCCUCAUCAUCCUCCCCUUCUCGAAGUGAAGUCGUCCUCGACGGCAACUCCUCAUCCUCGGCCAUAUAUGGUUUCAAAUCUACAACAUUAAAACUAGUGGAAACACCAAAUUCCGCAGGCAGGUCAAGGAUAUGAGCAUUAUCAUUAAUCUUUGUUAGCACCUUAAAAGAACCAGCAGCACAAGGCAUUAAUUUAGAACGCCGCAAAGUAGGAAACCGAUCCUUUCUCAAGUGCAACCAAACCAUAUCACCUGGCUCAAAAGUAACAAGUUUUCUUCCUUUACUACCAGCAACCUGAUUUUUUGCAUUAGUAGCAGCAAUGUUCUGUUUCGUUUGUUCAUGCAUGGUAAUCAUUUGUUCAACAUGUGCAGCAGCAUCUACAUGUGGGGCGUUCGCAACAUUAAGUGAAAUCAAAUCAAUAGGUGCCCUAGGGAUGUAACCAUAAACAAUCUGGAAAGGGCACAUCUUUGUAGAAGAAUGCGUGGCAUGAUUGUAAGCAAAUUCAACAUGAGGCAAGCAAUCCUCCCAACGUCUCAAAUUCUCGUCUAAUACAGCCAUAAGCAUGGUAGAUAAAGUUCUAUUUACUACCUUAGUUUGUCCAUCAGUCUGAGGGUGACAAGUAGUGCUAAACAACAAUUUAGUUCCCAAUUUAUUCCAAAGAGAUCUCCAAAAAUGGCUUAGAAACUUAGCAUCGCGAUCAGAGACUAUUGUUUUUGGAAUACCAUGUAAACGAAUAAUUUCUCUAAACAACAAUUCAGCAACAAUGCUAGCAUCAUCAGUUUUAUGACAAGGUAUAAAGUGAGCCAUUUUAGAGAAUCUAUAACCAACCACAAAAAUAUUAUCCCUCCCCUUCUUAGUUCUAGGCAAGCCCAAAACAAAGUCCAUAGAAAUAUCAAGCCAAGGAGAAGAAGGGACAGGCAAAGGCAUAUACAAACCAUGGUUGCCCAGACGUGACUUAGCUUUCUGGCAAGUAGUGCAACGUGCAACAAGACGCUCAACAUCACGGCGCAUCCGAGGCCAAAAGAAGUGUGCGGCCAGCACCUCAUGUGUCUUGUAAAUGCCAAAGUGCCUCAUGAGACCACCUCCAUGAGCUUCCUGCAGCAACAAAAGACGAACCGAGCUUGCUGGAAUACACAGCUUGUUAGCGCGGAACAAAAAUACAUCCUGUAUGUGAUAUUUUCCCCAGGGUUUGCCAUCCUUACAAUGUACAUAGAAAUCUUUAAAAUCAGCAUCAUCCACAUAUUGAUCUUUCACAGUUUGCAAGCCAAAGAUUCUAAAUUCUAACUAUGAAAGCAUGGUAUAUCUACGGGACAACGCAUCAGCAAUGAUGUUUUCCUUCCCAUUCUUGUGUUUAAUGAUGUAAGGAAAGGACUCGACGAAUUCUACCCAACUAGCAUGACGACUGUUCAAAUUUUUUUGGGUACGAAUAUGUUUUAAAGCCUCAUGAUCAGAAUGAAUUAUAAACUCACGAGGCCAAAGGUAGUGCUGCCAUGUUUGCAAAGUGUGAACUAAAGCAUAAAGUUCCUUAUCAUAAGUAGAAUAUCUCAAGCUAGCACCGCUUAAUUUUUCACUGAAAUAAGAACCGGUUUUCCUUCUUGUAACAAAACAGCACCUAACCCAAUACCACUAGCAUCACAUUCAAGUUCAAACACUUUCUGAAAGUCGGGCAAUUGUAAGAGUGGAGCAUAGGUUAACUUAUCUUUCAAAGUGUUGAACGCCUCUUCUUGUGGGGGGUCCCAAGCAAAAGACACAUCUUUCUUUGUGAGUUCGUGCAAAGGGGCAGCGAUGGAGCUAAAAUCACGCACAAAACGGCGAUAAAAUCCUGCAAGUCCAAGAAAACUCUGAAUUUGCGUGACCGUCGUUGGUGUAGGCCAGUCCUGAAUGGCUUCAACCUUGCUGUUAUCCACCUCAAUGCCCUGCGGAGUAACCACAUAACCAAGAAACAAGACACGUUGCGUGCAAAAUGUGCACUUUUCCAUGUUACCAAACAAGCGAGCAGCACGCAAAGCAUCAAAAACAGCACGCAAAUGUUCUAAAUGCUCCUCUAUAGACUUGCUGUAAAUAAGGAUAUCAUCGAAAUAAACAACAACAAACAAACCUAUGAAGACCCGUAGAACUUCGUUCAUUAAACGCAUAAAGGUGCUGGGAGCAUUAGUCAAUCCAAAUGGCAUAACCAACAAUUCAUAUAAACCAAAUUUCGUUUUAAAAGCUGUUUCCCAUUCAUCACCGAGUUUCAUUCUAAUCUGAUGGUAACCGCUACGCAAAUCAACCUUAGAGAAAAUAACGACAUCACUAAGAUCAUCUAACAUAUCAUCAAGGCGUGGAAUAGGAUAUCGAUAACGAACUGUGAUGUUAUUAAUAGCACGACAAUCUACGCACAUACGCCAAGACCCAUCUUUCUUUGGAACGAGUAAAACAGGAACCGAGCAAGGGCUAAGAGACUCAUGAAUGUAACCUUUAUCAAGCAGCGUCUACACCUGGCGCUGGAUCUCCUUCGUCACAUCUAGAUUUGUAUGGUACGGGGCGCAGUUCGGAAGAGAAGCGCCGGGGAUGAGAUCGAUCUGAUGCUCAAUGCCACGGAGCGGAGGAAGACCCAGUGGUAAGUCCGUAGAAAAAACAUCAUCAUACUCCUGCAAAAGGUUAACAACAGCAGGGGGUAUAUCCAAAGACGGGGCAUCAUCGGAACAAGCAUGCGAGCAUACACGUGCAUAAUAGGGCAUAUGAGCUUCAUGGAGAUCAUCAAAAUCAGCACGUGUAGCAAGUAAAACAGGAGAGUGCAACUUGAUUUCAGAUUUAUUAGGUGCGGCUGAUGUCGAUUUGACAUGUUGUGCAGUUUUAGCAGCCCUAGUAAGAUCAUCUUUCAAAAUUUGGUCAGGGGUCAUUGGAUGUAUAAUUAUUUCUGGCCUUUAAACAUGAAAGAAUAAUGAUUUGAACGACCAUGAUGUAAACUAUCAGUAUCAUAUUGCCAAGGUCGACCCAAUAACAAAGAGCAUGCUUCCAUACGAAUAACAUCGCAAUCAGCAUAAUCAGAAUAAGAACCCAGCGAAAAGGGGACACGUACCGAACGUGUUACCUCUAUUUUACCACCAUCAUUAAGCCAUUGAAUGUGAUACGGAUGUGGGUGUGCGCGAGUGGGCAAGGAUGAUUUCUCUACCAAAGUUGUACUUGCCAAAUUGUUGCAGCUGCCACUAUCGAUGAUGAUGCGAAUCGACCGUUCAUGCACAACGCCCUUGGUAUGGAAUAGAGUGUGUCGCUGAUUUUUUUCGGCCUGGGCAACCUGUGUGCUGAGAACAUGCUGCACAACAAGACUCUCAUACCUAUCGGCGUCGAUGGGAUCAACGUGGACUUCCUCAUUUUCUGCAUGGUUAGUGGCAAUCAUAGCAUGACUAGUUUCCUCGGAAUCACUGGCUGAAGAGUACUCGACAUUGUCACGUAUAAGCAAGGUAAACUUGUUUGGGCAGUCCCGAAUCAUGUGCCCAAACCCUCUGCAACGAUGGCACUGAAUAUCCCGUGUACGUCCUGUGGAAGAAGCGGCACCUUUGGCAGGGGGCGCCGCUGGCUUGGUCGUCCCUGUGCGCAGUGUAGUGCUAGGCGUAGAAGGUGCAGGGCUGGAAGGAGUUGAGUUGUGUGUCGAACCUCGGCCUGCAAAAGAGUUAGUAUAUGUCUUUGAUCGUCGUCCCUGCACUUCACGUUCAGCUUUGCAAGCAUAUUCAAACAAUGUGGUUAUAUCAAAAUAAUCCUUAUAAUCAAGUAUAUCCUGAAUUUCCCUGUUCAAACCACCACGAAAACGCGCCAUAGCAGCGUCAUCUGACUCAACCAAACCACAACGAAGCAUACCCUUUUGUAACUCCUGGUAAUAUUCCUCAACAGAUUGUGAACCUUGUUGAAAACGCUGCAUUUUGUUAAGCAAAUCACGGGCAUAAUAGAAAGGAACAAAUCUGUGGCGUAUGGCAGUUUUUAAUUGGGUCCAAGUAGUGACACUGUUAAUGGAAAGUUUUUGUUUAUACUCACGCCACCAAAUUAAAGCAAAAUCAGUAAAUUCACUAAUGGAAGCCUUCACUUGGCUAUUAGCAGGAAUAUCAUGGCAUGAAAAUUUCUGUUCUACCUCCAAUUCCCAAUCAAGAUAUGCAGCAGGAUCAUAUUUACCAUUAAAAGAUGGAAUUUUAAAUUUAAUCUUAGCAAAUAAGUCAUUAGGGGGAUGACGAACCACACGGCGUGCACGACCACGGCAAUCUCCAUCUUCCUGCUCAGUGUCACCGCCGUAGUCCUGCUCCAUCUUUGUGGUCAACGCAUCAAGGCAUGACAGGAUGGUGUCGAGUGUGGUGUGAGUCGCCGUUUGAGCAUGGUCAAGCUGGUUGAAACGUGCGGUCGUCGAAGUGACCGUUGAAUUAAGCCGUUCAUGCAUCAUCCUAAUGUCAGCAGCAAGUCCAUCAACUUGUCCCCUUACUUCCUGCAACUGGGCAUCCACCGUGUCAUUUGCUCCUGCCAUAGUUAGCGCAAACACCAAAACACCAAAAGGAGAAAAACCAACGAUAACAGGGGAAUGGUGGUGACAACUCGCUCAAUGGAAUGCUGUUAUCAAGUUCUUAUCCGUUCUUACCAAGCCACAGUGGUGAACUGCAACCAACAGGUGGAACUGGUGAAAGAUUGGAUGAGCGAUUGCCUGGAGAAACAGAAACCUGCUCGUCGUCGAAAUAUGUGGAGUUCUGGGUAGGCUGCACUCAAGUCAAGGAUUAGCACGAUCAAACAAUAAUGCAAAGUUGAAUUAUAGUGCAAAACAUGAAACUAUAUUGCUGGCCACAAGUGCAAAGGACGGAUGGAACUAGUAGAAUGGCAGUACCGUAAAUAUUGUACUAGCGAGGCCAAAAAGGCACUAGUAGGAAUCACAGGUGAUUUUGUUUUUCUUUUUGUAUGAUUUUUUUGAUAUUUUUCUCAGCACAAGAAGCAACAAAAUAGGAGCUACACCAAGUUUCACCUAAAACAGAGAUCAUAUGUGGUCUACAGAAAAGCGUGCAAGAACUUUGACGAAUUUUUUUUCUUUAUCCUUUGAAUCGAUCCAACUCCCUUCAGCCCUUCUGGCAGCUUCUUGACUUCUAUGGACAGCAAUGGACCCUUGCUCCGAAGGUAUCUUCAUGCAUAAGUAUGCGGGAUGAAGUAUUGCUUCGAAGGCAUUAAGCGUCCCUCGACCAAUGAUUGCGUUGUAUGGGUACUCCAUGUCGACAAUGUCAAAAACAACUUGCUCAGUUCUUGUGUUGUGGACGUAACCGAAGGUGACUGACAUUAUGAUUUUGUCAAGUGCCACAAUCUGUCUUCAUCCGAAGCCACAAAGAGGGUGUGUAGCUUCAUGAAUCUUGUCCUCUAGUUCUUGCAUCUGUCUGAAAGCCUUUGAAAAUAUGAUGUCCGCUGCACUACCUGUGUCAACUAGAACAUUGUGGACCAAAAAUCCCUUGAUGACACAAGAUAUGACCAUAGCAUCGUUGUGAGGAUAGUCUUUGAGCUGAAGAUCCUCCUGGGAAAAGGUGAUUGGGAUGUGGGACCACUUGGAUCUGACGAAGGGUCCUUGCACCCCAACAUGCUGCACUCUUCUCUGCGCUUCCUUCUUCUGCUUCUUGUUGGCUGGCUCUGAACUUGAACCGCCCGUGAUUGGGAGCACCAGCUUCGUGACUGAAGGUGCUGCAGCUUAGUUGUUGAACGAAGCCAAUCGUUUCAAUCAGUGGAAGUGAGUUCACCGGAGGUGGGCGCCAAUGUUGGGGACUUGUUCUCAAAUGCUAUGAGUUAAGAACAAGGCAACACAAAUGUUAAUGGUUAAAGGCCUUCGUCCUCCGAAACAUUAUCUCCCUCAGGAUAUAAUGAUCUUCAAACGAAGGUCAUGAAGGGUGUUGGGGACUUGUUCUCAAAUGCUAUGAAUUAAGAACAAGGCAACACAAAAUGUUAAUGGUUAAAGACCUUCGUCCUUCGAAGCAUUAUCUCCCUUAGGAUAUAAUGGUCUUCAGACAAAGGUUAUGAAGGAUGUACCUUCAUCAUCUUAGUAUAUAAUAAAACGAGUAGAAGCAUAAGAAACAUGGGAAAUAACAUGAAUAAUUAUAUGACAUUAUCAGAACAUUUUUAUUAUCUUAUCAUGAAUAAACAUGAUCAAUAUCGAAUUACAUUUGUACCUUCGGCUUGACAGAAGGUAAAAGUCCAAGCGUGACGUGCGAGUGAAUACAAGUCAGCGUGAACAGUAUGGUGUCACUAUUCAUCUAUUAUUAGGCACGAGACGCAGCCUAUGUAGAAUUACAUUCAUGCCCUUGGCAUUUACUAUUAACUUAGGGAUAAUCUAUCGAGGACUAGACAACCUUUUCCUCUUUAAGUCGGUUUCAUUUUCCAUCGCUAAGCCGAAGCUUUUUCACGGGUAGCUUCGGCACUAGCCCAUCCUUCUCCCGAACCACGCUCUUCAUAUCAUGUACAACUUCAUCCCAUGUCCAACGGUUCCUGUACAUAUAUUAUACUUGGGAAACAUGUUAGUCGUGUUUUUGAGGACCUUCGGAAGACGAAGGCCCCCAACAGUAGCCCCUUGCAGUAUUAAUUUGUUAUAACAACGGAUUUAGACUGUGACAUGAACGAAGGCCUUAAGCUGAAGGUCCGAAAAAACACCUUCCCUUCGCUAGAAUAGCGACAAUCAAUGACAGACGGGGCCCGCCAAGUUGCAAAGCACUAGGCGUAUAAAUAUGAACCCACAGCGGCAGCAUUUGGUACGCUAUUUCUGCUAUUCGCGUUAUUUUCUCAAAUUUCUAGCUCUUGCUCAAUAGCUCUCGCCUGAUUUUCGAGCUUUUAGAGCUUCGGUUUAAAGGCGUGCUUGCUCCAAAUUUGAGGAGAAGAAGAUGAGUGGGGAGAAGAAGAUGACUGAAGAGAAGAAAAUAACCAAGGAGAAGAAGCUGUAUGAAGAGAAGAAAGUUGUGGAUCCUUUCAUCGCUGGGUUUUAUGAGUCCAUGGCAAAAACGAAUACAGAGAAAAUUACUAAGGAGAUCAUGGAGGGUUUGUCCGAAGAUUCUGAUGAUAGUGAUAGUUAUGACGUGGAGAGUGGGGAUGAAGAUUCUGAGGAUCGGCCCUGGCGGCCAUGUCAUACUAUCUUCGGAAAGUCGACUAUCAAAUAGAGUCAUAUUGGCGCCAUGAGGGGGAGAUAUUUUCGCGACAUGUCGAUCUAUUAUCAGAGUUGGAGGAGACAACACUGCCCCAUCUGGUAUCUCUUCGGCCUCCGAAGGCCGAAGGUGGAAAUUGAUGGCAAUGUUGAAGCAUGCCAGAAGGCUUUUAGUACUGUUUGCGCCUUCAUUGGCACGAGGGAUUUAAUUCAAGAGCACAUAUCCUUCAGGGUGUGGCCACUUGUGGAGAGCUGGGAUAUGCCGAAGGAAACUACUGCCGACUCCAGUGAUGGUGGCGUGGUUCGAUUGAAAUAUACCUUCAGGUUUAGAGAGAAGUUUGACGAGCCAAAUGAUGACUGGUUGAAAUGUAUUGAAGCUACCAGUGACGAGCUGCUUGGGACAUAUUCCAAAGGCGAAGAUGAUGCCUUGUCCGCAGCCUUUGGGGGCCGGGGCAAGAAAAGAUUGAACAGGGUAUUUGAUGCGAUUGGCUUCGUGUACCCUGAUUAUCGCUACCCGCUACGAAUGCAGGGAAAGUAGAGAAAGACUGCCACUUCAGUCACCACAGCUGUGCCGAAGGGCAAAAAAGUGAAGGUUCUGACCCACUGGCCGCGAUAUAUUGAACCGGCCAUAGUGCCUAAAUUUGGCGAAGGGACCUCUUCAACUACCGAAACAAAACAAGCUGUUCUGAUUGUGCAGAGCGCUGAAGAGCCGAAUGUAGUGCCGAAGGUGCCUACAGUCGGGCCAGCCGAAGCUAAGGAUGAUACGACCGAAGAGCCAAAGGUGGAAAAAACAGUGAAAAUGCCAUCAAUUCUGAGCCCACCAGCAGAGGCAAACCUGCCGAAGGUGCAAAAAGCUCCUGCUGCAACUCCCAAGAGGAGGAUGGCCAGCGUGCUGGACACUGUUAUGGAGACCGCAAAGGCUUUGAGCCCUGCUCCUAGUAAGAAAAUUGCCGAAGCUGUAAAAGUUCAGGCCGAAGCCGAAGUUGGGCCUUCAAUGCCCAUAGAGAUGAAGGCGGUUGCGCCUAAGGAUAAAACAGAGCAACAAACUUCAUAUACUGGCAUGGCAGUGAGACAAGAUGUAAUGGAAAAAGCAAAAGUUCCUGCCCUCGAAACUUCGGCCGAAAAUGUUACAUUAUCUGACAUGCUUCGGGGAAAAAUUAUCUGAAGAAGAAAUCCUAGAAGCCAGACACUACGCCCAGAAACUAAAAUAUCCAAAGGGGGCUUUAGUGUUCAAUGGCACUAACGAAGAUGAUUUCCUAUACUGUCUCCCGGACAACAAAGAAAUAUCCGUUUGCUGGGAGAUAGCUAAAAGUAUGGGAUUUCCGAAGCUUGAAGAAGGCCUUUCGACCAUGUCGAAGGAUGAUCUUACUGAUAGCCUUGCGUAUAACAGUAUAAAGGUAUAGAAGUUAACUUUUAAAGUUGGGAAUGAGUAAUUUCAUUGCUAUACUUAAUUAUUUUUUUGCAGGGCUUAAUUCUUAGCAAUGCCCUGAGAGCACAAAAGAGCGCCGAAGACGAAGGAUGCACAAUAGCUCUCAGCAACCUUCGAUCAGAGGUGAUUGAACUAAGAAACGAAGGUCUAGAGAAAGACAAAAUUUUGAUUUCAUUGGUGAGUAAAAUAAAAGAAGACGAAGCUAAGUACAAUGCUCAGGCCGAAGCCCAAAAAGCCGAGAUUGAAGACCUUCGGAGACAACUGGCCGAAGCUAAUGAGAAUUGCGCACUCGCACAGGCUAACCGAGAGAUUAGUGAAUAUUGGAAGAAUAAGCUAGAGAAAAAUGUUGAAGAACUUCGCGAAUCCAAGGAAAAAUGUUUUGAAAAAACCUUGGAUUGCGUGAAGAAGUUAAAAACUAGCUUCUCCAAAGUGGGCGCCUAUUCUUCUGAAGAAAAUUUUAUCCGAGCCGACCCUGAGGGCGUUAUUGAAUGGAUAAGUGGAGAAGUCGAAGCCUUCGAGGAAAUCUUGAAUGAUCGUGGGGAUAUUUGUGCUUUUUCCUGCGCUCGGAGAAUUUCUGCUAUUCUGGAGAAGGCCGGAUGUGAUCACGUCAAGGCUAUAGCUCAUGCCGAAGGUGCCUUCUCCAUAGACGAUACGAAGGAUCCUCCAGCCAAAGCAACUUUAGUGGACGGGAAGUUUUAUUCUAAUGUCUGGGUGAAUGGUGGCCGAGAGCUGGCCCACGAAAUUAUUAAAAAGAAUGAAAAAGACAAAUAAAAAGACAUGAUCACUUGUAUAUAUAUUCUAAUGCCGUUGUGCAGUGACAGCACUUGUACCCACCAUAACCGGAAUGGGAGACCAUGUCUCAGGUCGCGUGAGGGGUAAAGUCUGCGGGCAGGUUCACUCAGGUACUAGGCUUACCGAUUUACCAUAUUUCUCGGCAUAUGUUUAGUACGUUCAAACGCUUGACACACGGUACCACACCUUAAUCCUUAUUCCAAUUUUCGUCUCGGAGACGACGCAUCCCCAUGGACCGUCGUCAACAGACCAUCAUCAUUCCGAUAUAAAAUGGAUACAAUCAAUUCCUGACCUCGCGCGAGUGCUAGAAAAAUCACUCGACUUCUACCGAGAUCCCUAAUUAGUAAAGCAACUACUCGACCUAGCAUACUAGUAUCCAUCUCAAAAGGAAUCCUGAGUUAAUGCAUCUAGGGUUUCAGGUAACUCCUACACUUAAGUACACAGUACAAGCCUAAAAACAUUAAGUGAAGUAAAAUAACAUAUAUAAUGGUUAUGCAUAAGACUGGGGCUUGCCUUUUUUUCAUACCACCACCACACCACACAUCGCAAACAUAGACUAAUUCAAUCAUACUUCACACGGCAAUUUAUACAGAGUCGCAGAGUGACAAUAUUAACACAUAGGUAAGCAACAUUUCUUCACGACUUUCGGCUAAGUAACCAAACAGACGACAUGAUGACUACGAAGGCAUGUCACCAUUUCAUCACACACAUUCAUCUCCUAUAUGCGCACUAAUCCAUUUCUUGCGACAUAUGCACUCAAAAUCAAUCCACACUACACAACGUACACUUAUCUCUUAUUUAUGCGCAGACUUAACACCUUUCGGGAUAAAGCGUCACUAUAAACACCUUACACCUAAUUGCUUUAGGAACUUAUUAGUUCACUCGAAAACACCCAUUCAAAGUCAUAAACACAAUCAUACACUAUAUGUGAAGCACAAUUUAAGGAACGCAUAAUACGCAUCGACACGACUCGACUUAUAAAUGCAGAGAAAGCAGUGACUACUUUGGCAUGUCACCACCUAUCUAGUUAAGCCAAAACAAUUUCUAUUAUCGACUAAGAGUUCUAAGUAUUAAACAUAUUAUUAGUUCCCACGCACAAAUAAACCUCAACUUAACAUAAGUGACACCGAUGGAUUUUUAUUAAACUUAUUGUGGCGUGCACUCGAGACAUUACUGUUUAAUUUAACGCAAUCACUACUACAACUCAUCUCGGCAUACUUGUUCGGCAACACAGUGCUCAGGCAAACCCACACUUCCAAUCUACUUAUCACAUCCAACCACACCACGUGCCCACUGCAUUCUUAUGACCAAUUUUAGCACAAUUAUUUAUGACAAUGUUUAUCGACUAGACGAGUGAAACACCAACUGAUUAUUCGCACAUCUCGCCUCUAAAACACUAAUCACAUCUCACAUAAUUUAUAUUUUCAACCCACUCCAACCUACACCACGAGGAAUACAUAAAAUAUAUUUAACCUAGACUAACUCAUUAGCCGACUGCAGAGAUUACCAAGCACGCUUUACGCUUUAUUAAAUUUACCACAACUAACACACUGCUUUACGACGAAGUAUUUUAACAAACAAUUAAUACAUCUACGACCAAUCCCUAUGACACACAAAUGGACCAUUGUAGGCACACAUACACUUGUUGGCAUUCCAAUCGCAAACACAUCUACGCGUACCACUUUCUCCUCCAAGAAUUUCAAUUCGCAUACAACAUAUUCACACACAUAUAUAUACAUGACAAUGACAAUUGUGCAAGUAAGUCAAUCACAUGGAUUCAACCUAAUCGAGUCGGGACUAGCCUGCAUGGGCUGUCCACAUGGCUCGGCAUUUCGUCGAACGGGCAAGGCGCGAAGCGCGACGUUGACCAUUAGCUGUGAAAACACACAAAUUUGUUGGCGACAGUCCAUCGAACAUUACAAACGCUAAAAAAUAGCGAGGACAGCGAGGGGGUUUCUCACCACGGGUUUCGACGGUGUCGCAGAUGGGGCUGCACAGAUCCGGUGAAGCACGCGGUGCGGAGGGGAUCCGGGGCUGCUACGGUGGACCGGCACCGCUGCGCAGAUCGGGUCGACGCUGGCUGCGGACAAGCGCACAGGAGCUAUGACCUGUUGCCUGGCGAGGUCGGACGGCGCAGCUGCAGCAGAGCACAAGGCGGAGCUCGAAGCAGGGCACGGUCAUCAAGGCUAGGCGCUAGGAGAAGAUCCGGCGCAGGGGCGUCCAUCGAGGUAGCCCUGUUCGGUAACCAGGGGAGAAGAGCAGGAACUCAAGGUACCGAGCAGCUGGAGGAGGUAGAUCGCAGGGAGGGGCUUCAGUUGCUGGUGCCCAUGGGAGGAGGGCUGGAGCUUUGGGCGCCGGCCAUGGAAGUCGGAGGGGGCGCCAUGGGUGGCUAGGGAAACUGCUGCUCGCUUGCAGGGAGCGAGCGCCAGGGGGAGUCUUGGUCAACGUCCAUUGUAGGGGAGUGGAGGCUCGUGCCCAUGGAGCAGGGAAGGGCAUAGGCAUGGGGCGCUCGGAUGGGGGGGGGGUUGGCCUGCUUGCUUGCUUGAGGAAGAAGUAGAGGGAGGAGGGAAGGGCGAGCAGCAGCAGGGGAGGGAGCUCGGCGGCCAUGGAGCUCCUGCGCGCUGGCUGCUGUUGCCGUGGAGCAGGGAGGAAGAAGGUUGCUGGCGGCUGAAAGAAAUGCAGGGGUGGGAGUGCAAAAUUGCCAAGUGCAAGGGGAGAGGGCUCCUAUUUAUAGGCAUGUGGUAGGGUUAGGGUUUUCUUAGUGGGCCUAUUGGGCUGGGUUGGGCUGGCCCAAACACUAAACUGGGCCAUGAUAAUUUAUUUCCAUUUUAUUUUAUGGCGUCUUGAUUAAACAUGGAUUAUCGAAAAGCUAAUUAUUUCCCGGAAUACAAAUGCUCCUGCAGAAUUCGUCUCUACGGAGAACAGAGCAAAACAGAUUUCGAAAGAUCGGGCGAUUAACUUGGCCGAGAGUUUGAUUUGACUUUGCUCGGCAUUAAUUCCCUACGCAUGAUUCGAAAAUAAAUUGUCUUGAGAUAUGACCGACUUUCGGAUUUUUAGUCGGAGAAGGCGAACCGUGAUAUUUUUAAAAAGCACUAUCGAUGCGGGUUUUGAAUUCAGUUCAGACACAAGAUACUAGGCUGAGUCUAGUAAGAAUUAAUUAGAGGACGACAUAUUGAGUAUUCCGCAUGAGAGUACGGAUACGAAUAAAAUAGUCGAACAUAGAUCAAGGUUCGAGGAAUUAGACUCGGGCUCAGAUCAAAUAACAACCGUUGAGAGUUUGAUUUAAAGAGCUUCAGAUGAGAUUUAUAAUUCGAGAAUGAUUUUCGAGUUCGCAUUCAUUCCGAGAAAUAAAAGUUUUAACCGGCUCCAAAAUUGGUUGUUUCUCGCGAUCGAAUAACUCCGAAUUCGGUGAGAUGUGUACGAAUAGUCUGGAGAAUCAGAGACAUACGUGAGCAAAAAAUAGAAAUUUUCACUGAGCAUCCGAGAUUGGGAUAAAUUUCCUGAUGUAACACGAAAUAGACACCUAGGGUGUCACAGCCUUCCCCCCUUAAAAGAAUCUCGUCCCGAGAUUCGAACAAGGACUCUUAAGGGUGGAGAAGCAUGUAACUCCCAGGCUGGAGAUAGAUGCAAAUUUAUGAGAUAGGAUCUAACAAGAUACUGAAGAUAGAUUUGGGUAGAAUAUCGUGACAUGUUGAGACAAAAUGCAGCGAUCACUCUGAGAGAAUGUUCACCAAAGAUAGCACAUCAGUAUAGUCUCGUAAUGGAUCACGACUAUGAACCGUGAUACCAGCUCGUGCCGAGCAGCUCAACCAUGUGUGCACCAUAGUAGGCUCUCGGUUUCGUCGCGGCACCAUCAGUCGUUAGUCAUGACAUCAUUACCAAACGCAACCAAUGAGAAAUCUACAUAGCACAGAUAGAUGGAGCCCAUGAGAGUAUGGCUCAGAAAAUAAUGAUGUGACCAGAGUUGAAGCAGAGGUUGCUGACAAAAAGAGCAUCACAUGAGAAUUUUCUUUAACUCUGAGAACUACUUUAUGAUCAUCAUGGAGAUUAUCAUGCCAGAGAUUCAUACGAGAUUUUCAUAUGAGAACAAAGCAUCCACGAGGUCAGGUUGGUGAACUUGUAGAGACAUGAGAGAACCACAAGCUAACAACAAAAAUCCCUUGAACCAAAUGGAUACACUGGUUAGAGAUACAGUUGAUAAAACAAGAUCAUGAUCCUCGGAGAAGGGGGUAUGAGAAUGACCAGAAAUGAGAGAUUUAGGUAAGAUCAACAUUCGAUACUUGAGAACGGGUUAGAGUAGAUAACCAGAUAACGGGGCAGAAUCAAUAGGGGAUCCUGAGAUUCGGAUGAUAAAGCCAACAUGAUUGACAAGAAAAAGGAUUACCAGAUCCAGGUGAAAAAAGAGGUAGUCGCAUGAGAUCGCUUAGGACAAGCACUAGGAAGGUUACGAAGAUUCGGGAUAGGAUCUAUGGAAAGAAACAUGGCCUCGAUAGGGUUUGCGCAACUAGACACCAAACGAUUUUUUUUGACACAACAAGUGCACAAGGAGACUUGGGUUGGUCUAGCGGUCAAGUCAUGGGGUUCAAUAAGUUGUGCAGGUGUAAAUUCAAGGGUGAGACACACAAGGGUUAGAAAACACCAACACAAGCAUGUGAAUUUUUUUUAAAGAUUUUACUUGCUAACUACAAGGUUGUUUGGAGGGGGUCUUUUUAUUGGCAAAACAGGCAACAAUUUUUAUUAGCAAAAGGGUUGAACAAUUACAAUACCACCUAGAUAGCAAGACCAGAGAAACACAUAACACGACCUAACAAGACUUACCAAUCUGACACAAGGUAAGGCAUUCCGUAUAGUUCCUAACAUAGCAAUGCGUCAGAAUAUUCACAAGUUCUUAUUAUUGGAAUAAAGGUGAGAGAAGCAUGUUGGUGCAUAAGAGACAAUUAUAAUACGACAAUCAUGAUGCAUGAUCAUUCUAGUCGUCUUCUCAGACCUAACUACUUUUUUGGGUGCUUGCUACAGCAACCUUAAUAAUAGUAGUAGUAGCCUUUAUGGCCUAUAUAAAUAGCCACCUAGCUACCCAUCUAUUUUCCUAAGGCCUCGCGUCCUAGGUCUAGCCUUUUCGUCCUGAUAUCUAUCCAACAUUGGUUUCUAAGCAAGUUUUACUUUUGAAAAGUUGAUAUUCAUGACUUAUUGACUUCUCUGUAAUGGUAUUCGCUCUGAUACCAGCUGUGGCGGAACCACCCGAAUUAUUCCAACUUAAGUGCCUAAGUCCCGCCUUAGAGGCUAGACCACACUUAAAUAGGAAUAAACCGUGAGUCCCUCGGAUCUAGUCCGAUAAAGCCACUUAACCAGGAUCGAAUACCACUAGCUCACUCGAAGGUGAGGCACAGAGAAAUACAAUAAAGCAUAAUACCAUAAAUUUAAUAAGUAUCAGUAAUGAUUACAUUAUCGAAGUUCCAGAAAUAUUAACCAUAAAUUUUAAUGCAGCGGAAAUAACUAACGGAGAAAACCGAGUAACAUGGCGAAGCCUGGCCACGCUACUCCUCCUGGUCCUCUCCUGCGGAAGCAGUAACCCACUCGACUGUCUAUCCCGGUGGCGGGGAUGAAGGCCAAGUCACACCAUCAACCAAUCAUCCUAAGGAGUACAUGCAAAAAUUAUGCCACAAGCAAGGCUGAGUAUACUAAUACUCAGCUAGACUUACCCGGUGUGAGGAGUCUACUCCUCUACCUCUAGACAUGCACCUGUUUGGCUGAGGGGUUUGGUUUGCCAAAAGCACUAGCUGAGUCUAAAAUCAAGUUUUAACUUUUUCAAGUUUUAGUAAGAUCCUUUUUAAACUAGAUGUGUACCUAGCUAGUCAUACAUGGUAUCAAACACUUUAUCAAUCAACAUCUUUUGCCAGUCACCUCAUUUCCACUUAUUACUCAAUGUAGUAGCAUGGAUCAAGCAGUCUCAUUAGCUGCGAGAAGCAGACGAUUCGAAUCGAGUUUUAAACCUUGCAAGGUAAACCUAAACACACGACGUGGCGAGGCACUCUGUCCCCACACACAUCAACCGUCUCCAUCGAUUCCCCGUCAACAUAUCAGGGCUCACCGCCUUGGCGUACAAUGCCUCACUGACCCCAACUGCCGUCGUGCACUGAUCGCACUUGUACCCACCAUAACCAGAAUGGGAGACCAUGUCUCAGGUCGCGUGAGGGGUAAAGUCUGCGGGCAGGUUCACUCAGGUACUAGGCUUACCGAUUUACCAUAUUUCUCGGGAUAUGUUUAGUAUGUUCAAACGCUUGACACAUGGUACCACACCUUAAUCCUUAUUCCAAUUUCCGUCUCGGACGCAUCCCCAUGGACCGUCGUCAACAGACCAUCAUCAUUCUGAUAUAUAAUGGAUACAAUUAAUUCAUGACAUCGUGCGAGUGCUAGAAAAAUCACUCGACUUCUACCGAGAUCCCUAAUUAGUAAAGCAACUACUCGACCUAGCAUACUAGUAUCCAUCUCAAAAGGAAUCCUGAGUUAAUGCAUCUAGGGUUUCAGGUAACUCCUACACUUAAGUGCACAGUACAAGCCUACAAACAUUAAGUCCAGUAAAAUAACAUAUAUAAUGGUUAUGCAUAAGACCGGGGCUUGCCUUUUCUUUAACACUUAGAUAGUGUUUGCUGGGUGGCACUCGCUUGACGAGCAUCCACUGGUUAAGUCCAUUCUUCAGGUCGCCCACCAACUGUAUUUUGUGGUUGGCACCACGUCACUUGCACGAUCAUCAUCUCUCGGUCCUAAAUGAGAUGUAGGAUGCAUAUGUAUGAAUAUAAUGAAAAAUACCACAAGAUAUAUAAGGACACAGUAGCGAACUAACAUUAAAUUGGAAGACACCGUAAACAACCACAUGUUAGCAUCAUUUAUCUACAUGCUAUCGGCGUUCAACAUUAACACCAUUGAAAAUACAACAACAUUUUAUUUAUUUACGUAACACAACUAUGACAUCACAAGUACGCGCAUUUUAUUUAUUUUGAUACGGCUUUCCAUUAGUUCUUCUAGUGAUGAUACAAAAGCAUCCCAAACAACACAAGUUUCACAGAGGACCUAUGCAUCAUUGUCUAUGGAACUUCUAUAUCACAAUCGAUUAGAGAAAGAAACAUAUAAAACAUGACACACAUGCAUUAUUAAGCUUAUACGGUUGUUUCAUUCCGUUCGUUUUAAAACAUAACUUGAGGUACCUUCCGUAAACCGGGCAUAACUUUUCGCUCGGGUGUCCAAAAAAUCUGAAAUUUUUACAGGAGCUAGUUGACAUCAUUCUGAGGCCGGCCAAACUCACCUUCGGUCUGUUUGGUUUCGACAAAAUUGUCAAAAAAAAUUCAGGAAAAUAAAGAAAAAAAUUCAUCAAAGUUCUCGCACGCUUUUCAAAGAACUUCCUGAUUUUCUGUAGACCACAUCUGAUCUCUGUUUUAGGUGAAACUUCGUGUAGCUCCUAUUUUGUUGCUUCUUGUGCUGAGAAAAAUAUCAAAAAAAUCAUACAAAAAAGAAAAACAAAAUCACUUGUGAUUCCUACUAGUGGCCUCGCUAGUACAAUAUUUACGGUACUGCCAUUCUGCUAGUUCCAUUCGUCCUUUGCACUUGUGGCCAGCAAUAUAGUUUCGUGUUCUGCACUAUAAUUCAACUUUGCAUUAUUGUUUGAUUGUGCUAAUCAUUGACUUGAGUGCAGCCUACCCAGAACUCCACAUAUUUCUACGACGAGCAGACUUCUGUUUCUCCAGGCAAUCGCUCAUCCAAUCUUUCACCGGUUCCAUCUGUUGGUUGCAGUUCACCACUGUGGCUUGGUAAGAACGGAUAAGAAUUUGAUAACAGCACUAGUGUGAGCGCCUUGUGAGCAGUACACCCCUGUUUUUGUUUUGGUGAUUGCGCUAACUAUGGCAGGAGCACACGACACGGUGGAUGCCCAGUUGCUGGAAGUAAGGGGACAAGUUGAUGGACUUGCUGCUGACAUUAGGACGAUGCAUGAACGGCUUGAUUCAACGGUCACUUCGACGACCGAGCGUUUCAACCAGCUUGACCUUGCUCAAACGGCGACUCGCACCACACUCGACACCAUCCUGGCACGCCUUGAUGCGUUGACCACAAAGAUGGAGCAGGACUACGGUGGUGACACUGAGUGGGAUGAUGGAGAUCGCCAUGGUCGUGCACGCCGUGUGGUUCGUCAUCCCCCUAAUGACUUAUUUUCUAAGAUUAAAUUUAAAAUUCCACCUUUUAAUGGCAAAUAUGAUCCUGCUGCAUAUCUUGAUUGGGAGUUAGAGGUUGAACAAAAAUUUUCAUGCCAUGAUAUUGCUGCACAUUCUCAGGUUAAAGCUGCUAUUAGUGAAUUUACUGAUUUUGCUUUAAUUUGGUGGCGUGAGUUUAAAAUAAAACAUCCCACUACCAUUCCAACCACUUGGGAUCAGUUGAAAGCUGCGAUGCGACAUCGAUUUGUGCCUUCGUAUUAUGCUCGUGAUUUGCUUAAUAAAAUGCAGCGUUUUCAGCAAGGUUCUCAAUCUGUUGAGGACUAUUUCCAGGAGUUACAAAAAGGUAUGAUUCAUUGUGGGAUAUUGGAGGACAACGACGCUGCUAUGGCACGUUUUCGUGGUGGUUUAAACCGCGAAAUCCAAGAUAUACUUGAUUAUAAGGAAUAUUAUGAUAUGACUACUUUAUUUGAAUAUGCUUGCAAAGCUGAACGUGAAGUGCAGGGAUGCCGCUCGAAGCCAUAUUCUAACCCUUUUGCAGGACGAAGCUCGACAUCCACCUCAGCACCAGUUCCCCCUGCGCCAUCCACGUCCACCACUACUCCACGCGAGAAGACGACCAAACCAGCCAGCACUGCCCCACCCACAGGUCGUACACGGGAUAUUCAGUGUCAUCGCUGUAGAGGAUUUGGCCAUGUGAUUCGGGACUGCCCAAACAAGCGCACUUUGCUCAUUCGUGACGAUGGUGAGUACUCUUCCGCUAGUGAUUCUGAAGAAAUUGAACAUGCAUUACUUGCCACUGACCAUGCAGCUAAGGCGGAGGUACAUGUCAACCCGGGCGACGCUGAUAGGUAUGAAAGUCUUGUUGUGCAGCGUGUUCUCAGUACACAGGUCGUUUUGCCCGAGAAGAAUCAGCGACACACUCUGUUCCAUACAAAGGGUGUUGUGCAGGAGCGGUCAAUUCGCAUCAUUAUCGACAGCGGCAGUUGCAACAAUUUGGCGAGUACCAUGCUGGUCGAAAAGUUAUCGUUACCCACUCGUAAGCAUCCAAACCCAUAUCACAUUCAAUGGCUUAAUGAUGGUGGUAAAAUAAAAAUCACACGUUCCGUGCGCGUUCCUUUCUCCAUGGGUGCUGAUUCUGAUUUUGUUGAUUGUGAUGUUAUUCCCAUGGAAGCAUGCUCUUUGUUACUUGGUCGACCUUGGCAAUAUGAUACUGAUAGCUUGCAUCAUGGUCGUUCGAAUCAUUAUUCUUUCAUUUUUAAGGGUCAGAAAAUAAUUAUACAUCCAAUGACACCUGAACAAAUUGUUAAAGAUGAUCUUGCCCGAGCUGUUAUAACUGCUAAACAACUUGAUCCACCGCCCUCUGUUCCUUCUGAAAUCAAGUUGAAGGCUCCUGUUUUACUUGCUACACGUGCUGAUUUUGAUGAUCUACACGGUGCUCAUUUGCCAUGCUAUGCACUUAUAUGCUCUAGUGUCCUCAUUUCACUUGAUGAUGCACCAUCUUUGGCUAUUCCCCCUAUGGUUGCUAACCUUUUGCAGGAGUACGCUGAUGUCUUUCCCAAAGACUUACCACCGGGUCUCCCACCACUUCGUGGCAUUGAGCACCAGAUCGACCUCAUUCCCGGCGCACAGCUUCCGAACCGCGCACCGUACCGUACAAAUCCGGAUAAGACGAAGGAGAUUCAGUGCCAGGUACAGGCGUUGCUUGACAAGGGAUACAUUCGUGAGUCUCUUAGCCCUUGCUCUGUUCCUGUGUUACUUGUUCCCAAGAAAGAUGGGUCAUGGUGUAUGUGUGUAGACUGUCGUGCUAUUAAUAACAUCACUAUUCGUCAUCGAUAUCCUAUACCACGCCUUGAUGAUAUGCUAGAUGAGCUUAGUGGUGCCAUUAUUUUCACUAGAUUGAUUUGCGUAGUGGUUACCACCAGAUUAGAAUGAAACUGGGUGAUGAAUGGAAAACGGCUUUUAAAACGAAAUUUGGUUUAUAUGAAUGGUUGGUUAUGCCGUUUGGAUUGACUAAUGCUCCCAGCACUUUUAUGCGAGUGAUGAAUGAAGUUCUAAGGCCCUUCAUAGGAUUGUUUGUGGUUGUUUAUUUUGAUGAUAUCCUUAUUUACAGCAAAUCUAAGAAAGAGCAUUUGGAACAUUUAAGUGCUGUUUUUUAUGCAUUGCGUCCUGCCCAGUUAUUUGCUAACAUGAAAAAAUGCAUCUUUUGUACACGACGUGUCUCGUUUCUUGGUUAUGUUGUUACUCCACAGGGCAUUGAGGUGGAUAGCAGCAAGAUUGCUGCCAUUCGGGAGUGGCCUACACCGACGACGGUCACACAAAUUCGGAGCUUUCUUGGACUUGCCGGUUUCAACCGCAGAUUUUUCGUGAUUUUAGCUCCAUUGCAGCGCCUCUACAUGAGCUUACAAAGAAAGAUGUGUCAUUUGCUUGGAGUGAUUCACAGGAGGAAGCGUUCAGCACUUUGAAAGAUAAGUUAACCCAAGCUCCCCUAUUGCAAUUGCCUGAUUUUAAUAAAGUGUUUGAGCUUGAAUGCGAUGCUAGCGGUAUUGGGCUAGGUGCUGUUUUGUUACAAGAAGGAAAACCAGUUGCUUAUUUUAGUGAAAAAUUAAGCGGUGCUAGUCUGAAAUAUUCUACUUAUGAUAAGGAGCUUUACGCUUUAGUGCGCACUUUGCAUACAUGGCAGCACUAUCUUUGGCAUCGUGAGUUCAUAAUCCAUUCUGAUCAUGAGGCUUUAAAACAUAUUCGUACCCAAACAAAUCUGAACCGUCGUCAUGCUAAAUGGGUAGAAUUCAUUGAGUCCUUUCCUUACAUUAUUAAACACAAGAAUGGGAAGGACAAUGUUAUUGCUGAUGCUUUGUCUCGUCGCUAUACCAUGCUGUCAUAGUUAGAUUUUAAAAUCUUUGGUUUGCACACUGUGAAAGAUCAAUAUGUUGAUGAUGCUGAUUUUAAAGAUGCUUUCGGCCAUUGUAUUAAUGGGAAACCAUGGGGCAAAUUUCACAUACAGGAUGGGUUCCUGUUUUGCGCUAACAAGCUGUGUGUUCCAGCUAGCUCGGUUCGUCUUUUGUUGUUACAGGAAGCACAUGGAGGCGGUCUCAUGGGGCACUUUGGCGUCUACAAGACACAUGAGGUGUUGGCUGCCCACUUCUUUUGGCCUCGGAUGCGCGCUGAUGUUGAGCGCCUUGUUGCACGCUGCACUACUUGUCAGAAAGCUAAGUCACGGUUGAACAACCAUGGUUUGUAUAUGCCUUUGCCUGUUCCUACUUCCCCUUGGAUUGAUAUUUCGAUGGAUUUUGUUUUAGGAUUGCCUAGAACUAAGAAGGGGAGGGAUAGCAUUUUUGUGGUUGUUGAUCGAUUCUCCAAAAUGGCUCAUUUCAUACCUUGUCAUAAGACUGAUGAUGCUAGCAAUGUUGCUGAAUUGUUUUUUAGAGAGAUUAUUCGUUUGCACGGUAUUCCCAAUACAAUAGUCUUGGAUCGUGAUGCUAAGUUUUUCUGUCAUUUUUGGAGAUCUCUGUGGAAUAAAUUGGGAACUAAAUUGUUGUUUAGCACCACUUGUCACCCUCAGACUGAUGGUCAAACUGAGGUAGUUAAUCGAACUUUGUCUACCAUGCUUAGGGCUGUUUUAGACAAAAAUUUGAAACGUUGGGAGGAUUGCUUGCCUCAUGUUGAGUUUGCUUAUAAUCAUGCAACACAUUCUUCUACAAAGAUGUGCCCUUUUCAAAUUGUUUAUGGUUACAUUCCUAGGGCACCUAUUGCUUUGUUUUCGCUUGAUGCUGCGGACGCCCCACACAUAGAUGCUCUUGCACAUGUUGAACAAAUGAUUAAUCUCCAUGAACAAACUCAACAAAACAUUGCUGCUGCUAAUGCUAAAAUCAGAUUACUGGUAGUAAAGGCCGGAAACUAGUUACUUUUGAACCUGGUGAUAUGGUUUGGUUGCAUUUGAGAAAGGAUCGUUUUCCUACUUUGCGCCGUUAUAAAUUGAUGCCUCGUGCUGCUGGUCCUUUUAAGAUACUAACCAAGAUUAAUGAUAAUGCUUAUAUCCUUGACCUGCCUGCGGAGUUUGGUGUUUCCACUAGUUUUAAUGUUGCAGAUUUGAAACCGUAUGCGGGAGAAGAUGAGGAGUUGCCGUCGAGGACGACUUCAGUUCAAGAAGGGGAGGAUGAUGAGGACAUCAACACCAACACGAGCACAUCUACACCAGCAGCACCUUCUCCAGCCUAGGCACCAUCUUCCCCAGUCCAGGCGCCACCCCUUCCACCUGGGCCAGUGACUCGGGCCCGUGCAAGAGAAUUGAACUACAUCAUGCUGUUAAAGAACGAAGGCCCGGAAGAAUAGACGACCAGCCCAACUGCGGCCCAUAAUGGACGACCUAGGGUUGGCCGCCCCUAGGGGCUGCGCCCCCUCUCUAUUUAUCCAGGAGCUGCGCCUCCUUUAUUUUUCGAGUUUUGUUUUAGAUCUAGCUUUAGCUACCCCAAAACACGCACAAAUACGUGCUGUCCUCUGUGAUUCAGAACUCCACCUCGAGUGAUAUUCAGAUUGCUCGCAUCUUUUUCUUGUUUGUUCUUCGAUUGCGCACAGGAAACGAUCUUCGUGAUCAGGCCGAUCUCGCAGCAGCAAGGUCGGUAACCAUUGGGAGUUGGUUCAGCGAUUGCAUUGGCGCUUCGGGUUCGCUCGUCGUAGUCGGAUCGUGAGGGUCUACUUCCACCAAAUCGGAAUUAUCUCCACUCACCGAAAGAUCGGGCACUCCAGCUCUAUCAAUUAACAACUUAUUACUUUUACUAUAGCUGAACUUUCUCCACCACCUGAGCCCUAUGAUCCUGAAGUUGAUCUAGCAAUGAAGAUGGCACUGGAAACUAUAAGAAUUGCUGAAGAAGUUGUUGACGAAGCUGUCACCAAACUUCUGAACGAAGCUGCCGAAAUUUUUUUGAAGGAAGACUAGACUUUUGUGUAAUUAGAAAAUUUCAACAUAUGUGUGAUGUAAUGUGCAUACAAGUUAAACAUUGUAUAUCUAUUUGUAUUUUAAUGUAAUAUAUUUCUUUGCGAUGCAUGAAAUUUGCGUACAUACCAUUUUUGAGCCUUCGGCGAAAAAAUGCCUUCCCUUCUUUUCAUGCUUCGUAAAGAAAAGAGGCCCUCUAUAACAAAGUUGUUGUAUGAUAUUGUUGUCGACAAAAAAUUUGCUGAUAAGAUUGUAAUUGUCGAAGGUUUACUUCGUGCUCCGGCACACUUUCAUUCAUCAUAUAACUGCCGAAGGUUUGCUUCGUGCUUGAUUCUUGUUGUUGAUGCGACAUGAUGUAUUAUGUAAUGCUAUGCGGGAUGAUGCAAUGAUAUGGUGCAGCAUGAUGUUUAUGCCAAAGACACAUACCCACACGGAAACACUCAGACUCUGCAUCCCCUUAGGAACGACUUUGAAGUCUCUUCACCUUUUAUUCCAGUGGCAUUUAAGCUCUGCAUCCCCUUAGGAACGACUUUGUAGCUUCUUCACCUUCUAUUUCAGUGGCAUUUAAGCUCUGCAUCCCCUUAGGGACGACUUUGAAGCUUCUUCACCUUCUAUUUCGAUGGUAUUUUGGCUAUGCAUUCCCUUAGGAACGACUUUUGAGCUUCAAUACUUACUCUGCGCCCCCUUAGGAACGACUUUUGUAGCUUCGGAACUUACUCUGCGCUCCCUUAGGAAUGACUUUUGUAACAUCAAAACUUACUGCGCUUCCUUAGGAACGACUUUUAUAGCUUCGGAGUUUUGUUAAGAGGAAACAUUCCACUCGACGAUAUGAGUACAAUAUUAAGAAUUCAAUCCUUCGUGAAUUGUUUUUCAUACAAGAAAAAUAAAACGACAGAAAAGAUAAAGAUGCACCAGAGGUAGGAUAUUCUUCAGUAGAUGUGCUUGGAUUCAGGCACAGUGCUAUUGACUGUGCGAGCUUCAGACUCCUCCCGAAAAUUGUGUUGCUGUUGAGCGUGUUGGUGCCCUUCUAGCUGCUGGCUUCGGGCCAGAGUAGGUGCUAGCGGUGGUGGUGGUGGAAGCUGGGCCCAGGAAGCUUGAGAGUGGCUUGCCAAAGCGACAGAGGUCGUAGGCUGUUGAUUACCUACGUACUCUGGGACAUAGGGAGAAUAGCAUGAAGCGGUAUGUAGGACUUGCUUCGGCUGAUUCUGCCGUGCUUCAGCUUCGGCAAUCUCUUUCUGCUUCUGAAUCGUGACUUGGCACGUUCUUGUGGUGUGGCCUUUGUCUUCACCACAGAACAAGCAAAAAAGUCUCCUGGGCUGAUCUCCGUAUCUUCCUCCAAAUCUUCUGCCCCCUCUGCCUCUUGGAGCUGGUGGCCUGAAGGAGCUUUGUUGUGGCCCUGAUGAUUGGGAGCUGUGUUGUUGCCUUUGGGGUUGACUUCCUCUAUCAUCACUUGGGUUGGCAUUAUGGAUUGACCUGACGUGCCUGGGGUGAAUUCUUCCUCCGAAGCCCCUAGCCAUCUCAGAAAACAUGUAUGCUUCCUCCCUUCCUUUGGCGGAAAUCAUUAUCAGCCCGGAUGUACUCAUCCAUCUUUUGAAGGAGCUUCUCCAGGGUUUGUGGGGGCUUCCUGGCAAAAUAUUGAGCUGUAGGUCCUGGCCGAAGCCCCUUGAUCAUGGCCUUAAUGACAAUUUAAUUGGGCACUGUAGUCGCUUGUGCUCUCAGACGCAAGAACCUUCGGACAUACGCUUGAAGGUACUCCUCAUGGUCUUGCGUGCAUUGAAACAAAGCCUGAGCAGUGACAGGCUUCGUCUGAAAGCCUUAGAAACUAGUAACUAGCAUAUCCUUGAGCUUCAGCCAUGAUGUGAUUGUCCCUGGCCGAAGAGAAGAGUACCAGGUUUGGGCUACGCUUUUGACUGCCAUGACGAAGGAUUUCGCCAUGACCGCAGUAUUGCCCCCAUAUGAAGAUAUGUUGUAGCUCAUCAGGAAUUGCUUCGGAUCUGAGUGCCCAUCAUACAUAGGAAGCUGAGGUGGCUUGCAUGAUGGGGGCCAUGGAGUAGCCUACAAUUCUGCUGCCAAAGGAGAAACAUCAUCGAAAGCAAAAUUGUCAUGAUGAAGAUUACCAUACCAUUCAUCAUCAUUGAAUGAAUUCUCUUGACGAAGCUCCCUGUGUUGGGGCCUUCAGUCUUGGUCAUCUUGGGUGAGGUGACGCAUUUCUUCGGCGGCUUCAUCAAUCUUCCUCUGGAGAUCGGCGAGCCAAAGCAUUUUCUCUCUCUUCUUUUGAACUUGUUGAUGGAUAGCUUCGUGGUCCCUGAUUUCUUGGUCCAGUUCCUCCUCCUGAGGUGUUGGGCGGGUAGCCUUCCUCUUCUGGCUCCUAGCUUCACUUAGCGUCUCCUGAUUAACGUCCAGUGGCUGCAGUGCAGCCCCUGGCGCGGUUGUCUUCUUCGGCGGCAUGACGAAAGUCGAUGCUUGCCGAAGGUGGUCAGAUGAGUUCACCGGAGGUGGGCGCCAAUGUUGGUCCUUAAUCUCAAAUGCUAUACACCAAGAUCAAAGCAACACAAUUGUUAACAAUUAAAGACCUUCGUCCUUCGAAGCAUUAUCUCCCCUAGGAUAUAAUGAUCUUCAUACGAAGGUCAUGAAGGACAUACCUUCAUCAUUUCAGUGAGCAAAGAUGUAAACAGAGACAUAUGAAACAUAAAAAGAAUAUAAACAAUCAUAUCAAAUCAUUAGAUUAUUUAUAUUCUUAAUUUAUAGAUAUGAAUAAACAUCAAUAAUGUUUACAUCACAUUUGUACCUUCGGCUAGACGGAAGGUGAAAAGGCAAGAAUGACGUGAAAGUGAUUACAAGUUAGCGUGAACAGUACGGUGUUACUGUUCAUCUAUUUAUAGGCACAGGAUGCAGCCUGGACAAAAUUACAUUCAUGCCCUUGACAUUUACUGUUGACUGUUAGGCAAUCUAUUGACGACUAAGCAGUCUUUUCUCCUUUAGGUCGGUUUCUCCUUUCACCAUCGUCGACUUGCCAAGCCAAAGCUUCUUCAGCCACAACUUCGGAGCUGGCUUGUCCUUCCUUCAGACCACACCUUCAUACUAUGCACAUCUUCAUCUCAAAGUCCAAGCCUCCUGUAACGGUCUGAUAAAAACAUGUUAGUUAGAUUUUGAGGACCUUCGGAAGAGGAAGGCCCCCCAACAUACCCAAACAAUAGAAUCAAAUCAACCUCAAUUGUUUAAUAUACAGACACAUAAUCAGUCAUCAUCUGUCUUCAGUCAAAUGAAGUUGACUCGCGAAAAUCUCAAAGCAACAGGUGCUUCAUUCUACUGUAAAAAUGAAGGACAUAUCAACCAGUAAUGCCACAAGAAGCGUCUAUACCAACUUGAGAAGAGGGACAUGAAACAACGAGUUCCCUAAGUUUGGAAGUGAGAGACUGCUUUCGAUUUUUUUCGAACAACAAGUCGAACCCAAUGAACAAUUCCAUUCAAAGGAAUGUUCUAGAGGGGGCCCUUUUCCGCAAUAUUCGCGAUAUUGAACAAAAUGGAAGAAAUUCUUCACGAUUUCUAGAGUUCCGGGAUUACUUCACUGAUAUCAAUUUUUUCCUAAGCACGGCCUCUACUCUAGGUUAGUUCAAAGUGUAGUACAACGAACUAUCGAUACACCGAAAACAAGUAAAGAUGGGCACAUAAAAUGAAGACAUCGAGUCCAUUGUGAACCAAUAACCUACAAAUAAUCAUGUAUCUUCUUUAUUUUCUUGCUAGCCUUCCCUAAUCUCGAGGACUAGAUUCUUUUUAGGGGGUAGAUUUUGUAACACCCUAAAUCCAAUAAUUAAAAGCAACUCAGUUUGAAUUAUUAAUUUCCAAAAGAAAGGAGAAAUAUUUACGUUUUGCAAUAAUGAAUUUGGUGAUAGAAACAAAAUAAACAAUUCAAAAAAUAGAAAUUUAAAAAUGUUUGAUGCAUUCAUCUAUAAAUAUAUAUUUUGUUCGAUGUAUCCAGUUUUUUAAAUUUAAGUUAGUGUGAAAAACUUAUUUUAGAAAAUAAUAAUGAGUUUUAAAAAUAUUGUUUAGGAAUAUUGGUAGGUUUUGUAACAACUCAAAUCCGUCAGCUAAAACAAAAUUAAUCCUAGUAGUUAAAUCCAAUAGAGAGGAAAAGUUAUUUUCAGACAAAAAGAAUAUUGGUACAAAAGAUAACUAAUAUUUUGAGUAAAAUUAAGUUUAACUAAGUGAUUGAUACAUUCAAUUUUAGAGCGUGAUUUUUAAUUGUUAAUGUAUUGCAAAGAUUUUAUUGUUUAUUAUUGUUUAUUCUCUAUUGCAAGACCUGAUUAUUUAAAAAAUGGACUUUUGCCUAAAAAUAAACAUAUGGUAUUUUAAUUAUGAAAUAUUAGUAUGGGAAUUAUUAUGAUUUAUAAAAUAUUUAAAAAUAUUUUUAAUGAAUAACCUACUUGAAAAUAUGAAAUUCGAAAUUUUAAUAAAAUGAAUAAAAACAAAAAAAACACGUGAGACGUUGGCCCAUCUGGCCGCUUGACCGACCGAACUGGCCAAUCAGCCCAUAGCCAUGCAUCCCUCUCCCUCUCCCUCUCUUGAACCUAUGACACGUGGGCCCCACCAGGUCUUCUUGUCCUCCAUUCCUGUUCGAUGGAAACACCGCCAGCCGUUUCUUUGUGUGCAACGCGUUCGACUCUGCGUCGCCUGCUUGGCUCAUGCCCUGCCUUGAGGAGGGCAGCGCUCGCGCCAACCAACCUGCUGCAUCGCCUCCAAAACAGAACGUCACGUCGUUUCCUUCCCUUCCCAUUACUCCGACUGUUUCCGUGGCUCGCCGUUAAUGGCGCUACCGGUCCCUGCUCCUUCCUCUCCCCUCGGCACCAUCUCAUCUCCUCUCCUCUCCUCCCCGGCUCUUAUAAGCCAUGCCCCCGACAUCCAUCUCUGUUCCCCCUGCUCGCCCUCUCUCUGCCUUCUCUCGCCCUCCCCCACGCCCAGCUGUUUUCGUGCUACUAUACGCCAUUUGCUGCUUUUCGUUGACAUUCGACAUAGUUCACCGGAGUCCCCAAGCCGGAGCUCGCCUAGGGGCCUUGCUGCUGUUUUCGCUGAUCUCCGGAAACCCUCUGGUCGUUUUCCACCCAUGUCGUGGUGCUGUUGUCGCGCUUGCCUAAGCUCACAAUCGCUGUAACCCCGCCAGCGCUGCGCCGAUCUCUCGCCGCCGUUGAAGAGCCACUGUGCUCCCCUUCUCACGCAGCUUCACACUCUCAGUCCACCGCCUCGCUGAUUUCUCUGUCGCUGUUUGCUUUGCCUCCGAGCUCCCUGCUGCACGCCGCCACAACUCCCAUGCCUCGCACGCAGCUGCACCAUCACCCGUCGUCGACUCCUCAUCCCCGCGCCCGUGCAUCGUCGCCCGUGCAUCGUCGCCAGGGCGCCCUACUAUGCCACUCGCCAGAAUUCCAAGCACCGUCCAGCACCUCGCCACCGUUUCCCCCGCGCUAGUGACUUGCCCCUCGCCAAAAGUUGUCACACCCGGUUUUGGAAGGUAAACCGAAUGCGAACCAUGUAUGUGCCAGGAUCAGAACUCACGUACACAACGAUUACAUAAUUGGACAUCAUCACACAAUGCUCGAAUUAAAUAACGGAAGGAUACUUAAUUACAUCAAGAUGUCUGAGACAUCCACAGAGUCGAACACAUAUCCAUAAUGUUUAACGUUAACACCAAAGUGCGGAGAAACGAAUAAAAGUAAUCCCUCCAAGAAGAAAUACAAGAGGCACUCCCUCCAAGAGGAAAUACAAGAGAUCAGAUUUAUAACCAUCAUUGCUAAUCGUCAUCAUAAAAGUAAUCAAAGUUCUUCUAAUCAAAGAGGAUCCCAAGGUUGCUCUUAACCGUGAGCACGACUGAUAUACCAGUCUCUAACACUCUGCAGACGUUGCACACUUUACCCACAAGCCGUGAUUCCCAUUCUGCCCGGGGUUCUAGCCUCCCCAUUGAUCACUACCAAGGUGACAUAGCAGGGUCUCACUAUGUAGCUUUUACAAAGAUUUCCCGGAGGCCAUAGUCGCCUGUUAGGUUUCUCCAGUUUGAUAAACACAGUACAUCUCUCCAGAGGAAGGGUGACUAACAAAACCAAAUCAAAGAACCUCUGCAACCAGCCUCGGCAGAGCAAGUAUUGUGCCCGGACCCCAUUGACGGCCCUACGGCGAAGCCAACUACUCCUUUGGUUCCUCUAAUUAAUCAUAGACUAUGAAUAUGUAUCUAAAGUCAUUCAGUAGGGUAAUCGUAAAUCUUCACACAUUUUGCGAUUGCAAGCUUUGGUGCAUCACCGCCCCUAUUUUGAGGGUUCUCCACGGGUAAGUGCCAUGCCACCUUAAUCACAUCUCGUGAUUAGGGUGGUGUUGUUCUUAUUCAUUAAAUCUCUGUGUUUUCUUGUACUGAAGCAAUUUUAUGGCGAGAUGCACUAGUUAUCGUAGUAUAUGUAAGAGUCUGUCGACGAGAUUAUUAUGUAUGUAUGUUAUCUGCUAAUCAUGAGUGUUUCACCGCUUUCGCGUGAGUUACCAAGCGCGAGGGUAGUGCAUCGCUUUGUCUCUGCUUGGUGGACCCGGUCUAUCACGAUUAGUCUUUGGUUUAUCAACGAUCUGUUUAAUAUCCACAUGAUAAGGCCUUGCAUUAAGGUUUGAUGUUCUGGCGACGUGCCAGACACAUUGCAUUGGUUUGAGCAGGGAUUUUUCUAGGAGUCAGCUUGUGCCGAUUCUUAGGCCUCUAAUCUAGCUGGCACUCUGAUGCCUGUCACGAUCGCUAGGCCUAAUACAUGUAGGAUGUUCCGGCUGUGUGGUGAAACUUUAAUCGUUGUGGGUUGGACCUGCCUAGUGUGGACGAAGGAGGGUUUCAAGGGCCAUUGACUCCGCGCGCCACUGAGGCAUGGAUUCAGUUUGAGCCUGGGGAGAGCGAUCAGCUCCUUACAACCGAUAUUACUCGGGGAGCCGAACAUGACUCUGACUGGCGUUUGCACAUGUUUCUGUAUGCAGGGAACCUAUUCGGAGCACGUCAACACCAUCCUGAUCGGGUAUAGGUUAGGUGGCACGCCAGGGGAACCUUGAAGCCCUGCCAUACGCUAGGAUCUAGGUCAUGCCAUACGCUAGGAUCUGGGCCGUUGACCGAAGGACCAGGCCCGCCAGCCAUCCCGGGAGCCUCUCGGCUCCUUGUGUUGCCUGUCGUCUCUCGCUGGUGGGUUUCAGAUGGCAAUAGUAAGACCUAUUUUGGUUAUAGCAUCCGAUUUGGGAUUAGUGCUUGUUAUGGCAUCUAGUAAGAAUAUUUUGGUUAUGGCAUCUAGUUGUGUAAGAAUAUUUCUAGACCAGUGCUUGUAAGACAAUUGUUAUUGUAAUACUAUUUUAGAUGACAUAUGCUAUUUGGUUAUGGCAUCUAGUUCAACCAUUUUUGGGUUAUGGCACAGUUCACCCACCUAUUUAACAUGUGCAUUCCUCUUUUCUAUAAGUCUAAUGAAAGUCUGAUUCAACAUUAUGCUCCUAGGUUUAUAAGGCUAUUAAGCCCUCAGAUGAGAAGGCGCUCUAGCCAUUAGAACCAGUUCUUUACAAAGGCUAUUCAACCCUUCUUUUUUCUCCGAGUCUGAUGGAAGUGAACCUAUUCUUUUUAGUAAGACCAAUAGCGAGACCAACAGUAGAAGAAACAUGUUCUUUCAUGAGCAACAAGACCCACAAUAGAGGAGCAACAAUCGACAAUAACAAGAUCUCUGAAUUUCAUAUAACAUCAUCAUGUCACAAUAACACUUCAUUAAAGAUAAGCACUUAAUAGCCAUAGUACACUUCAUAUCACAACAACAUAUUACAAUAGCACUUAACAACCAUAAUAAGACUUUAUACUACAAUAGCAACAUUUCUAGAUUAAUAGAUACAUUCAUGUCACAAUCUAGCACCAAUGCUUAUUUGUCAACUGCAAUAGUACGAGAACCACAACCAAAAUAAGAAUUUUAUCACAACAACUAAGUAUCUUGUUAAUUCCUCGAUUCGUGUUUGAAAUGGCUUUAACUAAUCUAUGUUGCAUUAUGAAAUCAGAUCCUUGUUCUUCUUCUUUACCUGGAUGUCCAGCAAAAAUCCUCUUGUAUUUCUCCUAAUAAAAAACAUGCAAGAUCCUCUAGCCUGCAAAAGUGCAUAGUUUACCAAAAGCACAAAUUGCAAUAAAAAUAAUUAAUUUACACAUAAUUACCCCAUUGAAAUUAGGAUAUUUGUAGAUAGUCUACCAUGGUUCCAUUCGUUCCCACAAAUCACUCCUAUAAUCUGCAAAUUACAUUGAGAACAUUGCACAAGAGGCAUGAAUACAUGAUUGCCUGUCGUUCUCGACCAGGUUGACCUGGCAUCCAUGUCGAUUCCUUUGAUGGUGCCUACAUGCAAAGGAAUCCGUCAGGAGACAAUGAAUGAGUUGAAACUGCACAAAUGGAACAUAAUGUAGAGAUGCUAAGUAAUAUGAAGAACAAAAUGUUUCCCUACUUGUGGUGCCAUUGGUUAAUUUUGUUGACCUAAUGAUGCUUUGGUCUAGCCAAUCUAUGUGAAGAUGCGGUUCAAAUAUAGAAUUUGAAGUUCUUUUCUUUGUUAAAUUUAGUCAAGCUUAGGAUAGUUUGACUAAAAUCAAUCUUAGAACACCAAGUUUUUUGAGACUAAAGGAGUAGAAAGUAUCUCUUUUUUAGUUCCACUAGUGCUAGUAGGACUCUAAUUAUGACUAGUGUUGACAGCAAAAGGAACUAGAUAGGAAUAAUAGCUAAGACCAAAUACAAGCUGCAGAACAAGUACAAGCAACUCUAGGGCGCAUGAUCAUGACAACAACCACCAAGCUAGUGAUAGCUGCAUGGUUUAAAAAGCUUCACUAACAACACUCACAUAAGCACUAUCUGGAUUUCACAAAUGGAACUCAUCAGCAUCGGGAGAGAUGUUGUAGGAUUUCACUAAGAGUAGAUUCAACCACCUAGAGCAGAUUUGAUCGAGACGAUGAAGAGUAUUUCACUCAACAGAUUCAGCCAAGGCGGUUCGACUCAGGACCGGCUUUGGCCUAAGGCCCAAGCACUGAGGGUCCUAAAAAAAUUCCUAUAAAUAUGAUGAGUAAAAAAUCCAAUCUCAGAGACGCUAUUUGAAUAAAUUAAAGGAAUCAUCUUGUAUUUUAAAAAGCAUAAAGAUAAAGGUUUUAGUCAGUGUUGAAAUCACAGAAGACAUGGAUGUAGAGCCAAUGUUUCCUAAAAACCAUCAAGGUAAAAGAAAGAGAUACUUUAAUGACGAAAAUGAUAAGAUGAGGAUGAAACUGAUACACCCAGCCCAGGUGGGGUUGGCCGAGGCCCAACAAAUUAGGGUUGCCCGGAGCCCAACAGUUCAUUAAGCACACCCAACUCAGGGAAAGGCCCAAUCACCCCAAA
rnacentral:lncRNA from 1 species